rnacentral:rRNA from 1 species
GAUGAACGCUGGCGGCGUGCCUAACACAUGCAAGUCGAACGGAGUCGUUUUGGAAAUCUUUUCUGAGAUGGAGUUCUCGACUUAUUGGCGGACCGGUUCGUAACGCGUUAGCAUUCUGCCAUUAACAGGGGGAUAACAGUCGGAAACGUCUGCUAAUACCGCAUAAAGCAUUAAAUUCGCAUGUAUUUCAUUCCAAAGUAGCAAUCCGCUUUUAGAUGAGCUCGCGUCUGAUUAGCUAGUUGGCGGGGUAACGGCCCACCAAGGCGACGAUCAGUAGCCGGACGGAGAGGAUGAACGCCAACAUUGGGACUGAGACACGGCCCAGACUCCUACGGGAGGCAGCAGUGGGGAAUAUUGCGCAAUGGGGGAAACCCUGACGCAGCAACGCCGCGUGAUUGAAGAAGGCCUUCGGGUUGUAAAGAUCUUUAAUCAGGGACGAAACAAAUGACGGUACCUGAAGAAUAAGCUCCGGCUAACUACGUG